rnacentral:rRNA from 1 species
UUCCGUAGGUGAACCUGCGGAAGGAUCAUUAAUGAAACUUCAAAGUCGGCCAAAGGUUGUUGCUGGUGAUUAUUCACAUGUGCACRCCUUUGGUCGCAAAUCCACACACACCUGUGCAUCUAUGACUCGAGGUUGUAAUGACUGAGAGUAACUUUUAUACACUCUUGUAUGUAAUGGAAUGUCUUUUUGUGCUAUAAUGUACAAUAUAAACAACUUUCAACAACGGAUCUCUUGGCUCUCGCAUCGAUGAAGAACGCAGCGAAAUGCGAUAAGUAAUGUGAAUUGCAGAAUUCAGUGAAUCAUCGAAUCUUUGAACGCACCUUGCACCCUUUGGUAUUCCGAAGGGUACGCCCGUUUGAGUGUCAUUGUAAUCUCACUUCUACAACUUUAUUGUUGUUUGAAUGUGGACUUGGAUGUUGCCGUUUUAUCACGGCUCGUCUUAAAUGCCUGAGUGUACCCUGUUUUGCAGCGUAUCCAGUGUAAUAAACAUUUCACUAGAGUUGGUUGAAAGACCACGUUGACUAUAUGGGCUCUAUGCUUCAAACCGUCUGCCAUGUGGACAAUUUCUUGACAAUUUGACCUCAAAUCGGGUGGGACUACCCGCUGAACUUAAGCAUAUCAAUAAGCGGAGGAAAAGAAACUAACAAGGAUUCCCCUAGUAACGGCGAGUGAAGAGGGAAAAGCUCAAAUUUUAAAUCUGGUGUCUUUGACUCCCGAGUUGUAAUCUAGAGAAGUGUUUUCCGUGUCGGACCGUGUACAAGUUCCCUGGAACGGGGCGUCAUAGAGGGUGAGAAUCCCGUAUAUGCCACGGACUACCGAUGCUCUGUGAUACACUCUCAACGAGUCGAGUUGUUUGGGAAUGCAGCUCAAAAUGGGUGGUAAAUUCCAUCUAAAGCUAAAUAUUGGCGAGAGACCGAUAGCGAACAAGUACCGUGAGGGAAAGAUGAAAAGCACUUUGGAAAGAGAGUGAAACAGUACGUGAAAUUGUUGAAAGGGAAGCGUUUGAAGUCAGUCGCAUCUGUUGGGGUUCAGCCUGGCUUUUGCCUGGUGUAUUUCCUUUCCGAUGGGUCAGCAUCAGUUUCGACCGAGGGAAAAAGACAUUUGGAAUGUGGCUGUCUUC